UACGUAGGGGGCAAGCGUUGUCCGGAAUCAUUGGGCGUAAAGAGCUCGUAGGCGGCUUGUCGCGUCGACUGUGAAAACCCGCAGCUUAACUGCGGGACUGCAGUCGAUACGGGCAGGCUAGAGUUCGGUAGGGGAGACUGGAAUUCCUGGUGUAGCGGUGAAAUGCGCAGAUAUCAGGAGGAACACCGGUGGCGAAGGCGGGUCUCUGGGCCGAUACUGACGCUGAGGAGCGAAAGCGUGGGGAGCGAACAGG
rnacentral:rRNA from 1 species